AGACAAGGGUCUCCAGCAAGAGACAUCCUCAACUCCACUGCCAACCCUUAAAUGAGGUCUGGGAAGGGGGGCAUCCUGGCUCCACUCCUUCUGUCACUCAGAAGCAGCUGGGGUUCACUUUUCCAAGAAGAUCCUGCUGGAAGACUGUAGUCCAACACUAACUGUAACCAGUGGGAAGGACCAUAGGAGCUCAGAUAAAGCAGGAGAUAAUGAGACUCAAGACUGAACAAGGAUGACUCAAAUUCUGAGGUAUAAUGGACUAUGAAAACUGAGGACAAUCCAGAGUGGCUGAUGAAACAAAGGGAGGUGUUUUGAGAAAAAAAUAGAAAAAAUAAGAGACAAAGGCACUUCUUCAGCAUUCCUCAACUCAAACCAUGAACCUUAUACAAAUGUCUACUGUUGGAAUUCUGCCUCCCAAUUACUCCAGACACAGCUCUGUACAAUGUACAGUCCCCACAAUGACUGCCAAUACUCCCAUAGUCCUAUCUGAGAGCUGGUCUUCUUCACCCCUAAGUUUGCCAAGGAAGGUGUCUGAAAGCAGAGCGCUGGGGAAUGGCAGAACUGGAAGAAGCGAGGAAUGACUGUACAUAGCAGUACUACUUUUGGUUUGGUUUCUUAUGUUUUUUGUUGUUGUAGUUUGCUUUUUUUUUUUUUUAAAGUCUUAAGGAGUAUUACUACACUGUACAUCUUUGUUUCACAGUUUCCAAUUUCUACAUUUCUAUAGGUGCAAAAGUUUUAAAUGAAAAUUGAAAUCAUAGUCCCAUAUUCAGUCAAAAAUCAGAACAGG
ensembl:lncRNA